AGGUCACGUUGGGCAGCCCUGCCCCAGACAUAUAAUAUUCGCAAGCGAGUAUUUCACAUUUCCGUGUCGUUUACUCGUCACGCCCCCGGUAUGUUAAG